CAGCACCUGAAGGUAGAGGGAACGGGACGAUUGGAUACCUCUUUAAAGAGGUGAUUGAAUUUAGUGUAUGGAUGGGGUCUGUCUCGGUUCAAUCCAGUUUACUGGACAUCACCCCGUGAUGGUAGUAGUCUUUGAAAACAAAGAAGCAGGAAAAGGAAAAGCAGAAGGAGAAGAAGGAGAGAAGGAAAAGAAGAAGGAGAAGAAAAAGAAGGAAGAGGAGAAGGAGGAGGAGAAGAAAAAGGAAAAGGAGAUGAAGAAUUAUAAGAAUGAUGAUGAAGAGCAGAAGCAGCAAAAACAUCCUAUUUCUCUGCUCCCCAAACUCCACCCUCUCGCUAUCCUGGCUGAGCAAUGAACUAUUUUUCAGAAGAUGGGUUACUUCCAGACUUUAUGUCCCCUGCCUCUUUGCCUCUACCACUUGUUUUUCUGGCUUGCUUUAGAUUUCAGCUCCAAUCUCACCUUCUGUAGGAGGCCUUUCUCAGUUUCCCAUAUGCUAAUGCUGCUAUUCUCUGCCCCCACUCCCCCCAUCCUCCCCAGCCCCACCCAUUAUUUUAUUUGAAUUUUGUAUUACUUCCACACCAAAGUGUUUUCUCCUCCAUUAAAAUGGGGUCUCCUUGAAGGCAGGGAGUUUUCAUUUUUUGUUUCUUUUUUCUUUGGCUCUUUAGAGUGUAGGAUGAUAUAUGGCAUGGAGAAAGUGGAUGUUUAAUAAAAGCUUACUGAUUGAUGCAUG